rnacentral:lncRNA from 1 species
UUUUAGAGAGAGAAGCUUAAGGAUGCGAGUUGGAUGAAUUUUAGUGUACAAAAUAUAUUAUCUCUCUCCAAUCUAUAUAUAAACCAAGUUAGAUGCAUUGGAUGCUACUCAAUGGUUGAUUGAAUCUGCAUAAUUGAGUCUUGGAUGCUCAAUUGGUAGGGUAAGUAUGUUUGCCAUGCUUUGCUAGCAAGAUUCCUCCAAUAAUACACUAAUAAUACACUAAUAAGCCAAAAAGGGCAUUUUGGUAAUUUCGCAUAUAAUUUCAUGGGCAUUUUUGUACAUAGCAAUUAAAUGUAGUAUUUAAUCACUAGAUGGUAAUUCUUAUCAUUUACCAAUUAAUUCUAUCCUUUGGUAAAUUAAAACUUUUAUACAUUAACAUCGUAAUUAAACCCGAUAAUUUUAAAUUAGGGUUUUGAUUGAAAAAUUAGGGUUUUCUAAUUAGGGUUUCUUAACGCCAUCAAUUAGGGUUUCUAAUUGACCAUUAGGGUUCUCUAAUUAUCUGUGUAUGUUCUAACACAGUCAUUACGAUCUCUAACUUCAACCGAUUAGGGUUGUAAUAAUUAGGGUUUGUCCUAAUUAUCGACAAACAACAGUAAUUAGGGUUUUCUUCUAAUUACCGACAUCUUAUACACAGUAAC